CCCGCUGAACUUAAGCAUAUCAAUAAGCGGAGGAAAAGAAACUAACAAGGAUUCCCCUAGUAACUGCGAGUGAAGCGGGAAAAGCUCAAAUUUAAAAUCUGGUGGUCUUUGGCCAUCCGAGUUGUAAUUUAGAGAAGCGUCUUCCGCGCUGGACCGUGCACAAGUCUCCUGGAAUGGAGCGUCAUAGAGGGUGAGAAUCCCGUCUUUGGCACGGACACACCGGGGCUUUUGUGAUGCGCUCUCGAAGAGUCGAGUUGUUUGGGAAUGCAGCUCAAAAUGGGUGGUGAACUCCAUCUAAAGCUAAAUAUUGGCGAGAGACCGAUAGCGAACAAGUACCGUGAGGGAAAGAUGAAAAGCACUUUGGAAAGAGAGUGAAACAGUACGUGAAAUUGUUGAAAGGGAAACGCUUGAAGUCAGUCGCGUCGACCGAGACUCAGCCCUGCCUUGGCUUGGCGUACUUCUCGGCCGACGGGUCAGCAUCAAUUUUGCCCCUUGGAUAAUGGCGAGAGAAAUGUGACACCUUUAUGGUGUGUUAUAGUCUUUCGUCGCAUGCAAGGGUCGGGAUUGAGGAACUCAGCACGCGCCUUUGGGUGUCGGGGCAUUUGCCCACGAUACGUGCUUAGGAUGUUGGCGUAAUGGCUUUAAACGACCCGUCUUGAAACACGG
rnacentral:rRNA from 1 species